rnacentral:rRNA from 1 species
AUAAAAGACGAGUGUUAUUCAUCUUUAAUCGGUUUAAAGGGUACCUAGACGGAAAAUCAAGCUUAAUUAAACUAAGGACUAGUUUUCUAGAGUUUGACAUGAGAAGGUACGAACUAUCAGAGGAGAGAUAAAAUUUGUUGAUACUGGUGGGACGGACAACGGCGAAGGCAAUCUUCUACUAAAAACUGACGUUGAGGGACGAAGCCUUGGGGAGCGAGAAGGAUUAGAUACCCUAGUAGUCCUUGGAGAAAAUUAUGAGUGCCAUAGACUAAAGUGAAAAAGAAGUUCUUUUAAAAGAACUUUGUAUCUGAGCCUUAAUUGGAUACAAAGGUCUGGAGUAGCAGUUUAUAAAUGAAAGUGUAAGCAUUCCACCUCAUGACUAAAGCGGCAACGCCCAAAUUGAAAUCAUUAGACCGUUUCUGAAACCAGUAGUGAAGUAUGUUAUUUAAUUCGAUAACCCGCGAAUAACCUUACCACGUUUUGAAUUUAUUAAACAAGUGUUGCACGGCUGUCUUCAGUUAAUGUCGUGAGAUUUUGGUUUGUUC